rnacentral:rRNA from 1 species
UGGCUCAGAUUGAACGCUGGCGGCAGGCCUAACACAUGCAAGUCGAGCGGAUGAAGAGAGCUUGCUCUCUGAUUCAGCGGCGGACGGGUGAGUAAUGCCUAGGAAUCUGCCUAUUAGUGGGGGACAACGUUUCGAAAGGAACGCUAAUACCGCAUACGUCCUACGGGAGAAAGCAGGGGACCUUCGGGCCUUGCGCUAAUAGAUGAGCCUAGGUCGGAUUAGCUAGUUGGUGAGGUAAUGGCUCACCAAGGCGACGAUCCGUAACUGGUCUGAGAGGAUGAUCAGUCACACUGGAACUGAGACACGGUCCAGACUCCUACGGGAGGCAGCAGUGGGGAAUAUUGGACAAUGGGCGAAAGCCUGAUCCAGCCAUGCCGCGUGUGUGAAGAAGGUCUUCGGAUUGUAAAGCACUUUAAGUUGGGAGGAAGGGCAUUAACCUAAUACGUUAGUGUUUU